rnacentral:lncRNA from 1 species
CCGGCCGGGUCCCGUGAGAGUGACCUACUGUGUAUAGCUUCCACCUUUCGAGGUUCCGGAUAGAACUGACAUCCCGCAGGAGGGUUUUUGAACCUUCUGAGCAGCCCAAUGCAAAACAGACUGAAGACUCCGUCGUUUUUAUGUGGAGUAGCUUCUCUGCAACCCAAUGCAGAGGAACUGGAAGAAGAAAAAAACGUGUUAAAAAAUGUCAAGGGUAGUCUAUUCUAUUGUGUCGUCUGGGUUGAAAGGCUAAUAAUGCGCGCGUACGUGUGCCACACUAUUCAGGAACUUAAUGCACUUUACAAGCUCCUGAAAACUGCCGUUGCUCUGAGGUCAACGUCCAGUGGAAUACGAUGCAAGUGUUGGAGUUAGGCGGAGCAUAUGGCGGCAUUGGCUCGGCCGACCGAUCGGUUCGGUAUGACACGGAUGGCAUCGAUCACACAAAAAAAAAAUCAGCAAAACAAAAGGCGCCUGAUACAUUGCAUGCCAGGCUCGAUCGAGGUGGAAUAAUAAGUAGGUAAAAGCCUCAA